AUGAGCGGCGGCUCGGCCCCCCUCCCCUACUCGAUGCGAGAUGUGGAUGGCGGCGCAUACAACAACGCCAAGUUCCGCCAACGAUCUCGCCUCAAGAUGGUUACCCAGGCUCUUAUUUCUAAGAGCAGCAAAUACCAAUUUGGAAAAUUCACCCUUGGGAAAUUCUUGAGUCUUCUAAUGGUUUCUGGCUUAAUAUACUUGCUUGCGCACAAAAGUUCGAAGGGUUUUGUAUCUGGUGAGCUCCAUGACAAAGAAGUAGAGAGUAGACAUGCCAGUAAAGAUUCUCCCACUAUCCGUACAUUCUGGAGAAAGCCACCAAGGCUACCUCCACGUCUUCCUCCAAAUGAAAUAUAUAAGAACAGUUCAACACUUCACCACCCCACUUCAUCUGAAUGGACAUCCAGGCAGAAGAAAGUUAAAGAAGCAUUCGAACAUGCAUGGUCUGGCUACCGAAAUUAUGCGAUGGGUCAUGAUGAGCUUAUGCCUUUGAGCCGCAGAGGUGUAGACGGAUUAGGAGGUCUAGGUGCUACUGUUGUGGAUUCUUUAGACACUGCAAUAAUAAUGGGUGCUGACGAUAUUGUGUCUGAAGCAUCAAAAUGGAUUGAAGACAACCUAAUGAAAAAGAUCAGCGAGAAAGGGCAGGUCAACUUAUUUGAAACCACUAUCCGUGUCUUGGGAGGGCUUCUUAGUGCAUAUCAUUUGAGUGGUGGAGACCAAGCAGGAGGAGGUGAUUCUGGGAUAGCAGUAACACCUAACAAGACUAAUCCAGAUCGUCUUCUGGCAGUCUCAAAGGAUUUAGCAGACAGAUUAUUGUUAGCUUUUACAUCAAGUCCAUCGGCUAUACCUUUUAGUGAUGUUGUUCUUCGUGAUCGUUCUGCACAUGCAUCCCCUGAUGGCUUAAGCAGUACCUCUGAGGCUACAACAUUGCAACUGGAGUUCAGUUACCUUAGCAGAAUAUCAGGAGAUCCAAAGUAUGACUCAGAGACAAUGAAGGUGUUAGAGCAUAUGCGAACACUCCCAACAGUGGAGGGUUUGGUGCCUAUUUAUAUUAAGUAUGCAUGGCUUCAACCCUUAUGUAUCUUUCCCUACUCUGGACAGUUUAGCGGAGAGAAUAUUCGACUAGGGUCGCGUGGUGACAGUUACUAUGAGUACCUAUUAAAAGUUUGGAUUCAGCAAGAAAAUUAUCGUAACACUAGCUUGAAGUAUCUAUUUGAAAUGUAUACGGAAGCAAUGAAAGGGGUCAGGCAUCUUCUUGUUCGGAAAACUACUCCAAAUGGGCUAGUUUUUGUUGGGGAGCUUCCCAGUGGACGAAAUGGUGCUUUUAGCCCUAAAAUGGAUCACCUGGUUUGUUUUCUUCCUGGCACCCUUGCUCUGGGUGCAACAAAGGGUAUCACUAAGAAAAAGGCUCUUGAAAGUAAUCUUCUAACUAAGGAAGACAUAGAAAAUCUUCAGCUUGCUGAAGAUCUGGCUAAAACUUGUGUUGAGAUGUACUUUGUGACUUCUACUGGACUUGCUCCUGAAAUUGCUUAUUUUCACAUUGAGGGUAAUCCUGAAGGUGGACCUGAUGGUGGGAACAAAAGUUCUGAAUAUAUUAGUGACAUCAUAAUCAAGCCUCUUGAUCGUCACAACCUUUUACGCCCAGAGACUGUGGAAUCCCUAUUUGUUUUGCAUAGAAUCACAGAGGAUCCAAAGUAUAGGGAGUGGGGUUGGCAAAUUUUUCAGGCCUUUGAGAAGUAUACAAAAGUUGAUUCUGGUGGUUAUACUUCACUGGAUGAUGUCACAAGCCUACCUCCACCUAGGAGAGACAAAAUGGAAACCUUCUUCCUGGGGGAAACAUUGAAGUACCUGUAUUUGCUGUUUGGUGAAAGUAAUAUUCUUCCACUGGACAAGUAUGUAUUUAAUACUGAGGCCCACCCACUUCCGGUCAUUCGGUCUGUGGUACAGGUUUCUAAUACCGUAUAG
rnacentral:rRNA from 1 species